UUAGACUUACAAUCUUCCCAUUUCUGUAAAUGCCACAUACGCACAUACAUCACAGACCUCCAACCUGAGGCUCCCUUCUAAUUCAAUUUUUUUAUAUCCAAUUUCUUUCUUUCAAUUCACACAAUAGCGGUCUUGUAAUCAGCACACAACAAGCAGAUUCAUUAAAGCAGUCACAUCGUAACUGUUAUAAUGAAUGGUCGAGGAUGUCAUCUGUCGUUGUGGAAACGCUGCCGCCGAGGAGCUGAUUGUCCAGACCUCGGAUGAUAAACGAGUGAUUACGGAUAACAGGUGGGUUAUUGAUCAGUCGAAACGAAGGACCCGGAGAGAAAAACUGUUUCAGAGCCACUCUCCCGGAGACUGACGGCCUGAGCUAUUGCACGGUCCAUUUGAUACAUACGUAUCACAAUAUGGAAUCUAUUCCCUUGUUUCAGGUCUGUCUCUCACAGCUACAGGGCAGCAGAAAUGAAGAUUUUUGUACGCUUCGUCCUUCUGUGCUGCAUUAUGGUGAUAAUGCAGGAAUCUUCCUUUUCUAACUGGAGUGUCAAACUUCCCGGCACCUACGACUGUCUGCAAGAACAUCCUUUCACGUUCGGAAAGUGCCACCAAGCUUGUUCCGAGUAUGGCAAUACCAUAGGCCGCUGCUCCAAUUCGGAAUGUGUUUGCAUUUUACAAGGUUAAUAAGUGUCGCUGUAAAAUUAUAGAAUUUGUUAACCGAAUUCUGUGAUGUUAAUUUGUGUAUGAUGACAAAUAAAAGCACGAACACGAAUAAAAAUAAACUAAUUGUUUCGCAUGGUUCGACUGUCAAUAUCUACACUACCUACCUUUUGCCAAGUAUAAAUAUUCUGGAUUUCCU